GUGGGGAAUAUUGGGCAAUGGGGGAAACCCUGACCCAGCAACGCCGCGUGAAGGAAGAAGGCUUUCGGGUUGUAAACUUCUUUUAUGAGGGACGAAGAAGUGACGGUACCUCAUGAAUAAGCCACGGCUAACUACGUGCCAGCAGCCGCGGUAAUACGUAGGUGGCAAGCGUUGUCCGGAUUUACUGGGUGUAAAGGGCGCGUAGGCGGGAUAGCAAGUCAGGUGUGAAAUCCGGGGGCUUAACCCUCGAACUGCACUUGAAACUGUUAUUCUUGAGUGAGGGAGAGGCAAGCGGAAUUCCUAGUGUAGCGGUGAAAUGCGUAGAUAUUAGGAGGAACACCAGUGGCGAAGGCGGCUUGCUGGACAUUAACUGACGCUGAGGCGCGAAAGCGUGGGGAGCAAACAGGAUUAGAAACCCUAGUAGUCC
rnacentral:rRNA from 1 species